CAGAGGGGCAGUAACACCGCGACGAUGUUUAUUCCAAGUGGCGACCGCCUCUCUGCUGCUUGGCUGCAUAAAAGAGCUGAGUUGCAGGCAGUUUGAGGCAACAGUGGAUGUUUUGGAGACACUGGGUGCUCUCUUGCCCCAGUGAACCUGACAGGCAGCUAGAGGGUAGCCAUUCACUGUGACAUCAUAAGCUAGAGGACCAUGUGACCCCCGAUGCGGAGCUCGGAGGAAAGAACCUUUCAGCUAGAGGCACCCAAUCAACCAGCAAGAUCUGGUGUAAGCUACAGGCCGUCCAACUGCAUGGAACGCAACUCUCACAGCAUGCUGCAGAAACACAAGUUUUGUUUUUCCUUUUAUAUAUUUGUCAUGUUCCCAAGUAAAGUGUAACAUUUAGGAGUAAUUCUCAAAUGAUCACAUGACUAAUUACAUGUAUGUUCUGAGCAACAAUAGCCAAUGAUUGAGACAAUGAUUCACCUUACACUUGCCUUUAUUGUUUGUUCUUUUAAGGAAAUCCUUGUUUCUUACAAAGCAAUUUGUUUCUCAGCAAACAUUUUGUGGAAAUCUCCAAUAAGAAUCAACCUGUGGGGUUACAACAACCUAUUACAUUCAUAAUGAAUAAAUUGUGAUUAAAUGAUAGGGAUUUGGUGGAAAUUGAGUCAAAAAGAAAACAAAAGCUGAGCAGUUAAGUAAAUAUCCUGCUGGUAAAUGACGUACAUCAGAUAAAUCAUAUAAAGAGGAGAAUUUAGCACCACACUGGCAAGUGAAGGCAAUGAAUGCAUGGAAACUAAAUCAUAGCCAGCUUUGAAAUAGGAAGAAAUAGUGGUGUAACAUCCUAUCAAAUGUCCACAUUAUAUAAGGUUAAAACUGCUUUUAUCAGAAGAUAGGUGCUCAUAAAUACAGGCCCAUGUCUACAAGGUUAUACAAUACAAUGUCUCUCUUUUAUUAAAUAAAGAGACUUUAAUCUCAAUAAGAUCCCUGAUUAAAUAAAAGUUAUUGAAGUGACUGAUAUACCUGCAUUAUCUCAGGCUUUCUUAUAUAGAAACUACCUUAUGGGGUGUAAAGGACUCAAUGUUUUAGUAAGAGAGCAUCUCAAUAUGUGCUGUCCUCAUAUUAAAACAUUGGGUCCAAUGUGUGACAGCGCACAUUGAGCUGUCAUCAUCUAACUGCCAACAUGAUGUAUGACAGUGGUGCUGCUGAAGAACAGACAGAGCCACAUUGUCUUUAAAACUGUAUAAACCCAAGGAUGCAGCGGUUUCUUUAAAGCUGAAUCAAGGCCACAUCUUUAUCGCUCUGGCCGAGAUCCUUCAGAUAUUGUCACACUACCUUAUCUCAACUCAGAAAUUGAUGGCCCUUUCAUUUGCUGAUGCUUUCAGUAAAAAAUGGAUUCACUUUCAUCCUUGUACAUGUCAGAGGGACACAGUCACAUUUCAGCAAGACAGAAACAGAAAACCUGCUAUCAGCUCUGCUUUCGUUCUCUUCUUUAAAACCUAAUCUAAAUUAAAAAAAGAGGAGACAAAGAAGCAUCUCAAAAAUCAUCUCACUUUUCAAAACUGUUUUCAGUAUUACAGCCAGAGGAAACUGUGACAAAAACAAACAAAAAUUCAGUCCGAGUCCAUGUUGUGAUACAGAAAAUGAGUUUUAUUCUCAUGUUAAUGUCUCAACAUACAAAUCACAUUCUUUUUAAUAAAAGAAAAGUUCAAUCAGUACCUGGCAUCUAGAUUCUUCUUUCUAAAAAUACAACCGAGUCACGUUGUAUCCCGCUGUCUCUCUCUAUAACAUAUGCUAUCUACUCAGAAAAAUAGUAACAUUACAGUUUGCUUCUGCUUACUCUUUUAGCCCAAUAGUCAAACUUGUGGACUAAUUUUCCUUUGAAAAACUGUGCAAGAAUAGAUCCCUUUUUAAUAAUUCAAAUAAGAAGUGAUCCUUUUUUUUCUAAUUAAGAAUAAAAAGGCCAUCAAUGAAAUGUAAGGAACUGAUGUGAUACAUAAAAUGUGAAUUAGUUACAGUAGAAAUUAUAGUACCUAUUCAUAGUCUACUGAAAACCUAGGAACAGUUACAUGUUUAAGGUUCACAGAUAAACAAGUGCAAAACAGAAAUAAAAAGGAUAAAGUUGCCUUAGUGGAUUUUGGCACAUUAAGAUACAGGAUAUGGUUUCGAGGAAGGGCAGAAUAUUUUUGUCAAUAUUUUUUGCCUCCUGAAUAAAAAAUACAAUUAAAUAACAAUGAAAAGUCACUAACAUUUAAACGGACCAGAGGAAAAUCAUUUAAGAUAUUACCCUGCAAAUUUUGCUUCAUAGUGUCUCUUUUAAUGAGUACAUCGAUAAGUGACUGACAACCAACCACAAAAAAACAAAAAAUAAACUUAAAGGAAAAAAAAAAA